rnacentral:rRNA from 1 species
UACGGGGGGGGCAAGCGUUGUUCGGAAUUACUGGGCGUAAAGGGCUCGUAGGCGGCCAACUAAGUCGGACGUGAAAUCCCCAGGCUCAACCUGGGAACUGCGUCCGAUACUGGAUGGCUUGAAUCCGGGAGAGGGAUGCAGUAUUCCAGGUGUAGCGGUGAAAUGCGUAGAUAUCUGGAGGAAUACCGGUGGCGAAGGCGGCAUCCUGGACCGGCAUUGACGCUGAGGAGCGAAAGCCAGGGGAGCAAACGGG